GAAGCAGAGUGUGCAUCACGGCGAGUCAGGUUACAGCCACGGCGAGUCAGGUUACAGCCACGGCGAGUCAGGUUACAGCCACGGCGAGUCAGGUUACAGCCACGGCGAGUCAGGUUACAGCCACGGCGAGUCAGGUUACAGCCACGGCGAGUCAGGUUACAGCCACGGCGAGUCAGGUUACAGCCACGGCGAGUCAGGUUACAGCCACGGCGAGUCAGGUUACAGCCACGGCGAGUCAGGUUACAGCCACGGCGAGUCAGGUUACAGCCACGGCGAGUCAGGUUACAGCCACGGCGAGUCAGGUUACAGCCACGGCGAGUCAGGUUACAGCCACGGCGAGUCAGGUUCCGGAAAAACUGGAACCGCAGCCACUCCGUAUUGAUUAUAGUCGGCAAGAUCUUUUACUGACCAGUACAUUCAGAGUAAGUGACAGACUUUGAUCUCACCUGUUGCACUGUGGAAAUCUGUCUCCCAGUCUCU